rfam:Aedes aegypti strain Liverpool supercont1.123 genomic scaffold, whole genome shotgun sequence.
UGCCCAGCAACUCCUAUCCCUUCCUCCUCGCGGUACUGGCCGGGGUACGAGUAACCUUAAGGAAGAUCGGGUAACCAACCCCGGUGGGAACUUUGCUCGUAUGCAGACAGGGCACUAUGG